GAUGAAGAACGCAGCGAAAUGCGAUAAGUAAUGUGAAUUGCAGAAUUCAGUGAAUCAUCGAAUCUUUGAACGCACAUUGCGCCCAUUAGUAUUCUAGUGGGCAUGCCUGUUCGAGCGUCAUUUCAACCCUUAAGCCUAGCUUAGUAUUGGGAAUCGACUUUACUGUCGUUCCUCAAAUUCAACGGCGGAUUUAUAGCAAUCUCUGAACGUAGUAAUUUUUUUUCUCGUUUUUGAAAUACUAUAAACCUCAGCCGCUAAACCCCCAAUUUCUUAUGGUUGACCUCGGAUCAGGUAGGAAUACCCGCUGAACUUAAGCAUAUCAAUAAGCGGAAGA
rnacentral:misc_RNA from 1 species